AUGCUGGGGAGCCUCUGCACUCUCAUCACUGCUCUAACAUGUGUCAGUGGUGUGACCGUGGUGACACAGAAGCCUGCUGUUGUCACGGUGACCACAGGAAACACAGCCACCAUGGACUGUAACCUGGGAACUGUUACUAAUAGUGCAGCUCGCUGGUACAAACAGAUUCCAGGAGGAGUUCCUCAGUUUGUGUUGUAUUAUCAUCAUUCUUACAGCUCUCCAGAGUAUGGUUCUGGUUUCUUGCCUCCUAAAUUCACAUCGACUCAUCAGUCACAAUCAGAUUAUCGUUUGAUCAUCAAGAAUGUGGAGCAGUCAGACUCAGCUGUGUAUUACUGUCAAACGAGGGACAACUCUGUUAAUGAACACGUAUCACAGUGA